CUUGUUUGACUCAGCCGUUGCGAAAUACGACUAACCCCAUUCAUUAGUUUGACAACAAAGGCGGAUUCUCAAUCCGCCUAAAAUGCCAAAAUUUUGAAGCCCAGUAAGGGUUAUCCAUUCUCGAAAUGAUCACGCCUUUCGACGUUGAAGCG
rnacentral:sRNA from 1 species